rnacentral:lncRNA from 1 species
AUGAGCAGAAGGAGCUGGCUUAGUCACGGAAGGAGUAGUGGGGGGAGUGGGUGUGAGGUUGGCCCUAGAAAGAGUUUUCGAAGUGGGAGUGAUUGCAGGCGGGAAGAACAGCUGCACGAGAAGCUACAUGGCCAAGGCAGGUGGUGUGCGGGCAUCUCCAGGCACCUGGAGCCGCGGGGUUGCAGGGGGAGUGGGAAGAGAGGCAGGAGCGCAGGUCCUAAAGGAAGGGACUCAAUUUGCCCGCGAGAACAGAGCCCACCCUGCCUGCCCGGGGUAAGCGGAAAGUGAAGCAGAAUCUCUCUGCGAGACACAAACCGCUUUCCCCCUCGUUCUCUUGCCUCCUCCCUGCUGGGAAGUGUGGUGUCUCUGUAGUGCUCAGACGAGGGAGAAACCCCAGUGUGCCCCCAUACCCCAUUCACUCCCCUCGGAUCCCAGUCCGGAUAUACACCAGAAGCAUACAUAUUUCCCUUUCUUCUCUUUUCGUGCUCCAAAGACGGCCUGACAUUGGUAAAUCACUGCAGCAGGCUUUAAAUGAUGUAUGAAAUGAAAAAUCCCUUCCCUGUGUAUUGGGGGCCUCCCGCCUAGCAGUGGGGUGUCUCUGCUGGGCUUCCUACUGUAUUAUUCAGCUCAGAGGCAGCCAAAACUCAGUGGAGGUGAGAAGCUUGGGAUCACAAAGAAAAACAAAGUUUAAAUUAAACAAGAAAAAAAAAAAAAGGAAAGAAACAUAUCUACUGAAACAUACACAAGUCUUUCUUUCUGGUCCUCACCUUUUCAAAACCGUUGCUGCUGAAGCUUUUUAGCUAGGAAAACUUUUUCUCUGCUUCCUUGUGCGUGUUUCUCCUACCCAGACCCCUACUCGCAUUCCUUAGCUUCAGAGUUAUUAACAGCUUCAGAGUCCUAUACAAUUGACAGUAUUUCUUCUUUCUUUUGAAGAUUUAUUUAUUUAUUUUAGAAAGAGAGAGUGCACGAGAGUGGGGAGGGGCAGAGGGAGAGGGAGAGAGAGUCCUAAGCAGACUCCCCCCCCCAGCAUGGGCUCGAUCCCACGACCCCGAGAUCGCGACCU